GUUUGGAUUUUGUAUCAUUCAAUACCGCCCAGCCGACAGCUGGAACGUGCACGGACACUUUUCAAGUUUGUGGGGUCACAACAGUGGCACCCAUUAUUUGUGGUGACAGCACAUGUACCUCGACCUUCCAUCGUCGGUCCUUACUCCCAGCAAUGUCCAGCUCAUGUUCAGUUUUGGAGCUGUGACAGCUACCCGAUCAUGGAACAUCAAAAUUGCGAUGCUCCCCUGUGGCGCCUCCUACCUCGCUCCCGUGGAUUGUCUUCAGUAUUUCACUGAUCCUACUGGAAGAGUCAUGUCUUUUAAUUGGCAAGGCGUCGCUGUUAGUGCCACCCGUCAAAUAAACAACCAACAUUACAACAUCUGCUUCAGAACUGAGCUUGUCUCAUUAAAAUUAAAGAGAGCGGCCCAGAUGUGCUUUUCAGUCUGCUCGGUUUUGAACGGGGACGCAUUUUCUAUUACUACACCCACCAGCACUGCUGCCGCUCUUGCCGCCAUUGCUGUUACUACAGCCACAGCAAAUCUCGCAGCUGCCCAAGCUCAUCUAGCCGUUACCCAGGCCGGUAUUAAUCCACUUGUUCCAACAACAGCCCAGUACCUGGCCGUUAUCAAUGCAAACACCGCCGUGAGAGACAGUCAAGCCGCCCUUUCAGCUGCCCAAACUACUUUCGCUACAGCGACUGCUACGGCCGCUUCUCACUCUGGUGUGGGCAUAAGUGCGGUGAAUGAAGUUAACAUGGCCACCUGCCUUUAUGAUUUUCUUGUCAUCGCCGGUGCCCGAGAUGCUGCUAAUGAUGAAGCCGAUCGUUACUGUGGGAACGCCCUGAAUCCAGCCGCUAACCCUUUGACGACAAACGUCCAAGUUUGUACUUUGAUUAAGCCGUUCAAGAUCAGUUACGGGACGGAUGGGACGGAAGGCGCGGUGGUUACCGGAACGAAUAUUCUUCCGGCGCCAGCUGAUACACACAACACUGGAUUCUGCUUGGAUUAUCAAGAGAAGUAGACUGUCGACAGUGAUACGAUUUCAUUUUGGUCUUUAUAACUUGAUACAGUAAUUAAUAUUUAUCUGUUAUUAACGAGACGAUUCCAAAGAGGUUCUGGUUUUUUGUCUCGACGGUCGACUUUGAAUAAUAAUAAGCAACAUUUGACUUUGAGAUUUGGAUUUUAACAUUUCUGUCUUGUUAAACUCUUUUUUACGUAAAACACCAAAUAACCGUGCGACCCAGUUUCUUUAAUACUUUAAUGCAUGAAAUGUUAGCUAGUUGUUGUAGUUUUUAGAAUUUUAGUGCCGCAAAAAAUAAAUCAAAUAAAAUGCGGUUAUACGUUUAAUCUUUUUCUAGGUGAGGCAAGUCGGAAUCAAUGGUACCCCUUAGAAAUGAGAUUAUACAUUGCAGAAUGCCGAUGCAUAAUAUUGGUGGCAACACAAAUGGACUACAAUGAAAAUCUGCAAUCGAUAAAUUGAGAGUUCUAAUAACCUCCAGCAGACUGAGGAGGGGCGCCAUAAGAGGCCAUUGGGGCUGGCUGGUGAGAUUGCGCCAUAGGAGGAGCAUAUCCUCCGAAAGAAGACAUUGCUGGGAUCGGCUGUUGAUAGGAUUGGGCAGCUGGAGCUGGCUGAUGAUAAGAUUGCGCCAUCGGAGCAGGAGCAUGAUGACCCCCGCUCGAUCCUCCAUAGCCCCCAGCUUGGCUAUGUCCCCCUCCAUACGGAGAUGUUGGAAUCGGCUGCGGAUGCGAUUGAGCAGGUGCUGAAUGAACAUGAAUGUGGACUGGCGCACCUCCUGAAGAUCCUUCGUAACCAUGGCCUCCAGCUGAUGGCCCGUGACUUCCGCCGUAGUUUCCACCUCCUCCACCGUAAGAAGGAGCGGGAGCAGGAACUGGUCUAGGUGCUGGUGGGCGAUGGACAGGUGGUGGUGAAUAGACCAUCACCGGCUGUGGUGCGGGAACGUAAAUGAUUUGCUGAGGAGCAGCGCCGUAUCCUCCGCCACCGUGACUCAUACCUCCGCCGUAGCCUCCGCCUAAUUAAAAUUGUUCAAAGAUUGUAAUCUGAAUAAUAGUCUAACUUUAUGCAAAUCAAUUCUUGUGUGAAAGGGCAGUUUUAGACCAACCUCGUCCUUUUCCUUUGGUCGCAUCAGUGCCAUGGACUAGCGCUAAGCCGAGCAGCACAAAACAUUUAAACGAAAUCAUAUCAACCUACAUUUCAAAACAUAAAUACAAUAGAUGCGGACUUGCGAAUGCGGAGGAAGUUUUUAAUUGCAUAACAGGAAAUGGCAAU